rnacentral:rRNA from 1 species
AGUGAACGCUGGCGGUAGGCCUAACACCUGCAAGUCGAACGGCAGCACAGUAAGAGCUUGCUCUUACGGGUGGCGAGUGGCGGACGGGUGAGGAAUACAUCGGAAUCUACUUUUUCGUGGGGGAUAACGUAGGGAAACUUACGCUAAUACCGCAUACGACCUACGGGUGAAAGCAGGGGAUCUUCGGACCUUGCGCGAUUCAAUGAGCCGAUGUCGGAUUAGCUAGUUGGCGGGGUAAAGGCCCACCAAGGCGACGAUCCGUAGCUGGUCUGAGAGGAUGAUCAGCCACACUGGAACUGAGACACGGUCCAGACUCCUACGGGAGGCAGCAGUGGGGAAUAUUGGACAAUGGGCGCAAGCCUGAUCCAGGCAUACCGCGUGGGUGAAGAAGGCCUUCGGGUUGUAAAGCCCUUUUGUUGGGAAAGAAAAGCAGCAGGUUAAUACCCUGCUGUUCUGACGGUACCCAAAGAAUAAGCACCGGCUAACUUCGUG